AUUCCAGCUCCAAUAGCGUAUAUUAAAGUUGUUGCAGUUAAAAAGCUCGUAGUUGGAUUUCUGGCAGGAGUGACCGGUCACACACUCUGUGUGUGAACUCGCGUUGUCUCUGGCCAUCCUUGGGGAGAUCCUGUUUGGCAUUAAGUUGUCGGGCAGGGGAUACCCAUCGUUUACUGUGAAAAAAUUAGAGUGUUUAAAGCAGGCUUAUGCCGUUGAAUAUAUUAGCAUGGAAUAAUAAGAUAGGACUUCGGAACUAUUUUGUUGGUUUGCGUUACGAAGUAAUGAUUAAUAGGGACAGUUGGGGGUAUUCGUAUUUCGUUGUCAGAGGUGAAAUUCUUGGAUUUCCGAAAGACGAACUACUGCGAAAGCAUUUACCAAGGAUGUUUUCAUUA
rnacentral:rRNA from 1 species